rnacentral:misc_RNA from 1 species
GGAAAAUCAGGUAAGCGAACUGGUUGCACUUGUCGGGCAGUUAACAGGAAGCGAACAUUGAUAUCCUUCAAGCCCUGAAGGAGGCUGUUCCUGGUACGUUCAGACUGUUGUUGAGCUGGAAAUCGCAACGGAGGAAGAAACCUUGUUGCUGGAAGUCUGGAAGAAGUAUCGGGUGUUGCUGAACCGUGUUGAUACAUCAAC